rnacentral:lncRNA from 1 species
UGGGAUUAUAGGCAUGAGCCACCAUGCCCGGCCCAAUAUCAACAUUCUGAACAUCAGCCUUUGUACUGAGUGAUAAUACAGCAACGCUGUCAAGGCCCACUGGGAGAACAAAGAGAGGUGGAUCCCAGGAGGCAGCCAGGGGAUGCAAGGAGCCAACAUGCCAUCAGAGAGGGGUGAAGAGAUAAGGUCCCAAGGAAAGCUAUUGGAAAGCUUUCUACCAAAAGGGAGAUCAAGGACCACAGAGCACAUCCUGAAAGACAAGUUUGGGGAGUCAGAAGAAGCUCAUUUGUUUGCUUGGAUGGCUGAAACAUGGACCAAAAAGGUUACCCACAGUAAACGAACUUGAAAUGCCAGAACUACCCUGGUUACUCUAGAGGAAGGGAUUGACAAGCUUAUGGAGAAAGAAGAGUUGGCGUGAAUUUAUCAUUUCAGAUCUGCGCAUCCACCCUGGAACACUUUUUUCCAUAUCUGUGAGAAAUAAAUGUGUGAGGAGAGCCCUACCAACCUUGAAGAGUUCUGGGGUCACUCUCUCACUAGGCAAGAACUUAUAGUGGGAGCUGCUGUCACUGAAUUGGGAAACCUACAUU